rnacentral:rRNA from 1 species
GGGAAUUUUCCGCAAUGGGCGAAAGCCUGACGGAGCAAUGCCGCGUGGAGGUGGAAGGCCUACGGGUCGUCAACUUCUUUUCUCAGAGAAGAAACAAUGACAGUAUCUUAGGAAUAAGCAUCGGCUAACUCUGUGCCAG